GUCUCUCUUCAGCAGCAUAUAUACACUAAAAUUAGAGGAUGCAGAGAGGAUGCAUAGCCCCGCACAAGGAUGAUACACAAAUCUGUGAAGCAUUCCGUAAUUUU
rnacentral:snRNA from 1 species